GAUGAACGCUAGCGGCAGGCCUAACACAUGCAAGUCGAGGGGCAGCACAGAAACAGCAAUGCUUUGGUGGCGACCGGCGGACGGGUGCGUAACGCGUAUGCAACCUACCUUUAACAGGGGGAUAACGGAGAGAAAUUUCCACUAAUACCCCAUAACAUCGAUCAAGGCAUAUUGAUUGGUUGAAAACUCCGGUGGUUAAGGAUGGCAUGCGUUGUAUUAGGUAGUUGGUGAGGUAAUGGCUAACCAAGCCUACGAUACAUAGGGGGACUGAGAGGUUAGCCCCCCACACUGGUACUGAGACACGGACCAGACUCCUACGGGAGGCAGCAGUGAGGAAUAUUGGUCAAUGGGGGCAACCCUGAACCAGCCAUGCCGCGUGCAGGAAGACGGCUCUAUGAGUUGUAAACUGCUUUUAAACAGGGAUAAAGCACAGUAUGUAUACCGUGUUGAAGGUACUGUAAGAAUAAGGAUCGGCUAACUCCGUGCCAGCCGCCGCAGUAA
rnacentral:rRNA from 1 species